UACGGAGGAUGCGAGCGUUAUCCGGAUUUAUUGGGUUUAAAGGGUGCGUAGGCGGACUGUCAAGUCAGCGGUAAAAUUGAGAGGCUCAACCUCUUCCCGCCGUUGAAACUGGUGGUCUUGAGUGGAUGAGAAGUACGCGGAAUGCGUGGUGUAGCGGUGAAAUGCAUAGAUAUCACGCAGAACUCCGAUUACGAAGGCAGCGUACCGGCAUCCAACUGACGCUGAGGCACGAAAGCGUGGGGAUCAAACAGG
rnacentral:rRNA from 1 species